UUUAUGGAGAGUUUGAUCCUGGCUCAGGAUGAACGCUGGCGGCGUGCUUAACACAUGCAAGUCGAACGGUGAAGCCAAGCUUGCUUGGUGGA
rnacentral:rRNA from 1 species